rnacentral:rRNA from 1 species
UUACUGGGCGUAAAGCGCAUGCAGGUGGUUUGUUAAGUCAGAUGUGAAAGCCCGGGGCUCAACCUCGGAACUGCAUUUGAAACUGGCAGACUAGAGUACUGUAGAGGGGGUAGGAAUUUCAGGUGUAGCGGUGAAAAUGCGUAGAGAUCUGAAGGAAUACCGGUGGCGAAGGCGGCCCCCUGGACAGAUACUGACACUCAGAUGCGAAAGCGUGGGGAGCAAACAGGAUUAGAUACCCUGGUAG